rnacentral:lncRNA from 1 species
GGCUGUGCCCAUGGCAUGCAAAAGUUCCUGGGCCAUGGAAUGAACCAAAAACUACAGCAGUAACAAUGAAGAAUCCUUAACCGCUAGGCCACCAGGAAACUCCUCAACAUAGUUAAUCCUUUUUUUUUUUUUUUUUUUUUUUUUUUGUCUUUUUUGCUAUUUCUUGGGCCACUCCCACGGCAUAUGGACAUUCCCAGGCUAGGGGUCGAAUCGGAGCUGUAGCCACCGGCCUACAACCCAAACUAAAUGAAGGGCUGUGAGGAUACCUUAAUGUAUUCAGGGAAGGCUGCCUGUGAUACGUAAAAUAUGGAAAGGAGAAAAAAAACACAAAGGGUUAGAUAGGGCCAAAAUACAAAUGCCCUUGAAUACCAGGCUAAGGAGUUAAACUUUAUGCAGCAGACAAUGGGAAAACAUCAAAGACUUUAAAGUCAGGGAAUAUAUGACUAUAUCCACACUUUGGAAAGACAAUGUUGACCUUGCAGUGAGUAAUGCACGGAAAGAAGAGAACAAAGAGGUAGGAUGCUCUGGUCUGGAUGAGACCACAGCAGUCCUCCCAGUGAGAAGAAAAAGACUCUGACUGCUACACCAUAGUGAGAACGGAGAUGAAGGAACGGAUUUGAGAGAUAUUUGGGAGAUAAAUUAGUGGAAUUUAGAGAACUAUGAGAUGUGGCAGACAAGAAAGAAAUUAAAGUCUAAACUACUGAGGUACCAGCCUAGAAAAACAGAUAAUACAGGCACUUCCCACACUGACUGAUAGGAGAAAGACAGCUUAAAGGCUCUUGCUUACAGUUUUAAGAAAACAAUCUAAAUAUCCAUUAAUAUCUUAAAAGUUAUGUAAAUUAUAAAAUUGUUUAGGACAGCAUAUUAUAUAUUUAUUAAAAUCACUUUUAGAGAACAUAUAAUCCCAGGGUAAAAUGUCAUGAUACAGUAAAUGAAAUAAGUAGGUUACCAAACAGCAUUACCCAAUUUUGUUUUGCAUAUUGGUAGAAUUUAUUUUGAUUGAAGGAAUAUGCCAAAAAGUCAACAGUAGCUUACUUUGAUAGUGGGGUAAUGGGACAUUACAAUUUCUUUCUUGAAUGUUUUUUUCUCAUUGUCUAAUUAUGCUACAACAACUACAGAAUAUAUUUCAUUUAAAAAUAAACUUUUGCUCUAAAGCACUGUACCUUAUAGCACUGGGGCCUGUGGUGAAUCUACUGAAGCCUGUAGCUAUGUCACAAGUGGAGGGAAUUUGACAUGACCAGACCCCAAAGUCUACUGCAGGUUCGCUAUGGGAGACUACAUUCACAACAAAUUGAACAAAGCAGUUUUUUUCCUUUUGAAAUAUUUACCACAAUUACAAAGUAUAAAAUGGAUUCUUUCCCAUUUAUUUAUAAUGCAUUAUCAUGAAUGGUUUAUGUCUGUAUACAUGCAACUACAAGUGGGAGUUUGCUACACACCUGUAUUUUAUUCUGUGUAGUCAUGCGAAAAAGAUUUAUUCUGUUCAUACUCAAUUUCUGUUACUCAGGUUCAUUUGAUAUAGAGCAGCCACUAUAUGGUGAAGAAGCAGCUCAGCAAAUACUAAUCUUUUUUAUAAGUACAUGCCAGUCCCUUUUUGCAAUUAACAAAACCUGGCUUUCCAAAGAUAUAAAUUUAGAUUUGCUAGGAAAUCCUGACCUGGUAUAGAUACACCUGCUAGAGAAGCAUAUGGCUCUGACAAAUCUUCAUACAUCCUGAAUGUGAACAAAAUACAAUUAGAUAAGCAACAUAGUAACUUCCUUCAUUAAAUAGGAAAUGAGUAGAAUUUUUCAGCUAUAAUUUUAAUCACUUUGCCAUAAGAUAGGUUGUAUUUGUCUUGGGAAACCACACGUACAUUAAAAAGGAAAUCUUAACCUAAUAUUCCUAGCCAUAUGACAAGCCUUAUUCAUAUGAUGAUUUUACAGGAGGAGAAAAUAAAGGUUUAUAUUUAAAAGCACUUUUCCAUUUCAGACAUUUAAAAACCUGGCUUGGUUUUGUUAACUUAAAUUAGUUGUACAUCUUAUUUCUAUGUUUUCUAUUAAAACACACUGGUAGAGAAGCAGUCUUUUCUCUGAGACAUUUGUAAAGAAGCCCCAGGGCUAAGUAGCAGCAAUGGGCUCAUUCAAUAAAUAUAAUGAAAUUGACCGAGGUCAAACAGUAAGACAGAAACAGAUCUGGGACUAAGGCCAGAUCUCCUGGCUUGAAAUGUGACAAGAUUACAGUUCUUAAAUUAAAAUAUAUUUUCCCUGAGAGUUGAAACAGGUCAUACACUUUUAAGAUACUAGUUAGUGACACUUGGGAAAUAUUGGCUAGCUCUCAAACCCAGAAACCACCUUAGAUGCUUUAGCUAACUACAACAUACUACACAGUGGGCAAGAGUCACUAAAAUAAUCACUCCGCAAACAAAGAGAAUUCAAAAUCUGCAACAGCAAUUAGCCACCAGUAUCUUACUAUGUGUCUGUGAUCUGAUGUCCAUUUCCAUGGAAACAGAAAAAGAAGUGAGAGGCAGCCAAGAGAAGAGAUGUCAGAGCUUGUCAGGUUCAGUGGCUAGAGCUGAAAGCUGCAAAUGCCUUUUUUUUUUUUUUUUUUUUUUUUUGUACAAACAGCAUCAGCUGACUUCUGGCACAUAAUCGAUUCUCAAGUUAGGCAAUGUCAGCUUGCUUGGAGAAGCAUAAAGCUAAAGAACAGGCUUAGGUUUUGUUUUGUUUUUGAAGUCUUGGAUUAAGGUAGGAGAUACAAAUUAAAAGCAAACUGUUCCAAAUGCUAAAUUUCUAAAACAUAAGAAUGCAAUAAAAUUGUUUCAAAUUUCACAAAGUAAAGAGA